UGCGUAGGUGGCGCCAUAAGUCAGGUGUGAAAUCUCGGGGCUUAACUCCGAAACUGCAUUUGAUACUGUGGUGCUUGAGGACUGGAGAGGAGACUGGAAUUCACGGUGUAGCAGUGAAAUGCGUAGAUAUCGUGAGGAAGACCAGUGGCGAAGGCGGGUCUCUGGACAGUUCCUGACACUGAGGCACGAAGGCCAGGGGAGCAAACGG
rnacentral:rRNA from 1 species